UGUGUGUUGGCCCCUCAGGUCUGCAGUAGUAGGAAUCUACAGUUGCUUUAAGAUGAUUGCCAGAUUCACUCCUCCUCUGCAAUGUGCAGAGUCCCCUUGUCACUGUGGCCACUGUCUUGGAUCCUGACAGCUUGGGCUGUUGGACUGAGCUCCAAGAAGUAUUCUCUAAGCUAGCAAAGAGGAAGCAAGCCCCAGCCCAGGAGCAGAAGAGAAAAGUAACUGGAUGCCCUUGCACCCUCCAAUCCAUAGAGCUCAGGUUUCAACUGAGUGACCCAAGGCCAAGGAGAGACCAAAGUGCAGGAGACAACGUGGGCCAGCAGAAGGCAAUGGCAGAGCAGAGAAACAAGAAUGGCAAGGUCAGUGGUACCAAACAUCAAGGGCAAAACCCUUUGAUCUCCAUCAUCUUCCGAGCGCGGCACACUCAGGAGCAUCCCGCUGCCACCAGCACUGCUGGAUGGGUAGUAGGGAGCCCAUUAUCGCUCAAAAAUCUCCUAGGAAGGCAUUUUUGUCUGUGCAUUGGAAGAUUGAGCUAAAUGCUGGGAGCUAUUAGCAGACAAUUAAAGCUAAUGUUGCAGCCAGCAGAAAGAGCCCAGUUAGUCACUUUACUCAAUUUAAAUCUUUGACAAUUUCCACAGUUCUAAUCAAGGAAUAAAACAGAAAAUACAUAUAGAUGUAUGGAUGUAUAUAUCAGAGCGUUAACUUUCAUUGUCAAAUCAAGGCCAAAAUUGCUGAAUGAGGUAAAUAUGAGGAAAAAUGUAAUAGACUAUUAGCACAAUAUAGCUUGUGGCUUUCAUUUCCAAGUGAUAGUCGCACAGCCCUCGCCCCCACACGCUUUGGGAUAUUUAAGGGUACAAAAUAGUAAUGUUUGAGAUGGAUGAAAUAAUCA